GGCUUUUUGUUUAUUUAAAAAGUCUGACCUGCCCGGUGAAUAUUUAACGGCCGCGGUAAAUUGACCGUGCAAAGGUAGCAUAAUCAUUAGUCUUUUAAUAGGAGUCUGGUAUGAAAGGUUUAACGAAACAUAGACUGUCUUUGAUAUUAUGUAUUGAAGUUAGCUUUUAAGUUAAAAGGCUUAAAUUUUAUUGAUGGACGAGAAGACCCUAUAGAUUUUUACAUAAUUAAUUAUUAUUAUUUAAUUGAUUAAAUAUGGAUAUAAUUUUUAAUUUUGUUUAGUUGGGGUGACUAUAAAUAUAUAAUUAACUUUUAUAUUUUACAACCAUUGAUUUAUGAAUAUUAGAUCCAUUAUUAUUGAUUAUUAGAUCAAAUUACCUUAGGGAUAACAGCGUAAUCUUCUUUCAGAGUUCAAAUUUACAAGAAGGCUUGCGACCUCGAUGUUGGAUUAAGAUAAUUAUUAGGUGUAGCGGCUUAAUUAAUAGGUCUGUUCGACCUUUAAAUUCUUACAUGAUCUGAGUUCAGACCGG
rnacentral:rRNA from 1 species